AUGUCCAAUCUGAAGGAGCAGAUGAGUAGCUUCAAGCAGAGCAGUGCUAGUCCAAAGGAAACAAUGUCCUCCAGGUUGCAGGCUUCCACUGAACAGCUUCAGGAGGUGUUUGGAAAAAGCCAACAACUUGUAGGUGUAGCUGCCUACUAUAACCCAGAGAUGUUGGAGUAUAACCUCGGAGACUGUCUCAGUUUGCCUCAUGCUUUCAAAGUAUCUGUCCCCGAAAGCACCAUAAGAAUCUACGAAGGAAUGCGUGAAGCCAGAAAGCCAACCAUUGAGAGGCUGAUAAACUUUGCCGUUGAGGUGCAAACUCGAGUGCAGUACUACAGAAAGACGUUUGAGGAGAUUGUAAGGAUGGAUUUGGAAAUUUUUGAGGAGCGGCGGCUGCAGGAUGUUCUCCUCUGCAGAUUGCAGGCUCCCAACUUAUCUAUGAAAGAGCAGGACUUUUCCACAGUGUGGGAGCAAAGAUUGAGCGAGCUGUUGGAAAAAAGGCAGCUUUACAUUCAGAAAAUGAGCAGCUCUAAUGAAAUUGUCCACUCCUCCCUGCGGUUAUACUACAAUGAGUUCCAUCCUGAGCUACAAGAGCUAGACGUGUUUUUAAAGCAGCUGGUUGGACUGAUGGAGGAGCCUAUUGAUUUUGGAAAAGUGAACGAGCUGCUGAUCCGGGAGCGGGAGCGUCGGUUUGCUCUCGUAACACGAUGCAGGGACAUUCCUGUGCAGAGCAUCCUCAGUGAGCACAGUGCUCUGUUAGAGGAGCUGAAGAAGCUGGAGGCAGAGGCUGUUUCUCUGCUCCAACAGGAGAAGAAUAAGAGAUUCACGUUGAUGCAGGCUCUGGAUGGAGCUCCCCUGCAGGCUGAGCUGUCCCUCAUCAGAGACAACCAGAAGCUGACUGAGCAGCUCCAGCAAGCUGAGCUCAAGCUUCAGAUUCUCAGUACUCAGAAUGAACACCUGCAGGACUCUCAAAUUAAAGCCAACAACAGGGUGAGCAGCCAGAAGGAGGCCACCCAGCUGCUGCAGACGGAGCUGCAGGACAGCCGUGCACUCGUGGAGGACAAAGAGAACACCAUCCAGAGCCUGAAGAGCAAGCUGAGAGAGUCUGAGACUAACGUGCCUCCCGGUGUGGCCGAACUGGAGAAAGUGAAGAUCAAGCUGAUCCAAACGGAGGCCAAACUCGCCUCAACUUGUGACGAACACAAACAUGAGAUUCAGAGGAUGAACACACUGCUGAGCGAGAAGGAAGCUUCACUCAGGAGACUGAAGGAGACGCUGAGGAAAUCCCUACCACAAGGAGAAGACUCACUCCUACAGGGUGAAGACCUUCAUGCCAGGCUGACCAAUACCAGAGGAUUGGGGGUUAAAAGCAGCAUCCUGCUGGAAAAGACUAAACUGGAGGAGGAGACCAAGCGGCUUCAUGUCAGGAUCUCUGAGCUGGAAAGCUCAGUUUCCAGUCAGCAGGAAGAAAUAAUCAAGUGGAAGAGCCGAGCCAUAAAACUGAAGGGAAAGGGCAAAGCAGAGGUAGAGCGGCCUUCGUCUCCCUGCACACCUACAAAGAGGGGCCUGCCUCUCACUGCAGACUCCACACACCUUCUCAGCUCUCCAAAGAAGUUCCUGGUGACUCCCAAGAAGAUUCUGGACUCUCCCAACAAGCUGGAUUCUCCGAAAAGCCGGUUCUUUGAUGUGGGACAAAGGUCGGAGCUGCUGAGCAAAACCUGUCCAAAGCAAUUCUUUGACAACUCCAGACUGGGAACAGAUCCAGAUGUAGCUUUGCAGAAAGAUUCAUGGCCCACUUCACCAAAAAUGGAGGAUGUGUGUAAAACACAGUGAUAAUCAGGACCAGAGACCACUGCUGCCUGUCCUUUGCUGACUACGCUCGCCGCCAUUUCUUAUGUUUAUUUGUGGCCUUUCUUGUUUUUGUAUUUUCUAUCCUUUUAAUCUUUUAUGACAAUAAAAUCUAUUGACUAUGUACA
rnacentral:lncRNA from 1 species